CGUAAUGUGAAUUGCAGAAUUCAGUGAAUCAUCGAAUCUUUGAACGCACCUUGCGCCCCUUGGUAUUCCGAGGGGCACACCCGUUUGAGUGUCGUGA
rnacentral:rRNA from 1 species